rnacentral:rRNA from 1 species
UAUCUCUUUGGUCAAAUUAGACGAAGUAAAAGUCGUAACAAGGUUUCCGUAGGUGAACCUGCGGAAGGAUCAUUACCGAGUCUUGACUGGGUUGUAGCUGGCCUUCCGAGGCAUGUGCACGCCCCGCUCAUCCACUCUACACCUGUGCACUCACUGUGGGCUUCAGACCGUGAAGCGGGCUCUUUGCUGGGCUUGCGAAGCGUGUCUGUGCCUGCGUUUAUUACAAACUCUAUAAAGUAUCAGAAUGUGUAUUGCGAUGUAACGCAUCUAUAUACAACUUUCAGCAACGGAUCUCUUGGCUCUCGCAUCGAUGAAGAACGCAGCGAAAUGCGAUAAGUAAUGUGAAUUGCAGAAUUCAGUGAAUCAUCGAAUCUUUGAACGCACCUUGCGCUCCUUGGUAUUCCGAGGAGCAUGCCUGUUUGAGUGUCAUGAAAUCUUCAACCUACAAGCUUUUGUGGUUUUGUAGGCUUGGACUUGGAGGCUUGUCGGCCGUUCUCGGUCGGCUCCUCUUAAAUGCAUUAGCUUGGUUCCUUGCGGAUCGGCUCUCGGUGUGAUAACGUCUACGCCGCGACCGUGAAGCGUUUGGCGAGCUUCUAACCGUCUCAGUUGAAGACAGCUUUAUGACCUCUGACCUCAAAUCAGGUAGGACUACCCGCUGAACUUAAGCAUAUCAAUAAACCCGGAGGAAA